UACGAAGGGGGCUAGCGUUGUUCGGAAUUACUGGGCGUAAAGCGCGCGCAGGCGGUCUUCCAAGUCAGUGGUGAAAGCCCGGAGCUCAACUCCGGAACUGCCAUUGAAACUGUGAGACUUGAGUAUGAGAGAGGUGAGUGGAAUUCCCAGUGUAGAGGUGAAAUUCGUAGAUAUUGGGAAGAACACCGGUGGCGAAGGCGGCUCACUGGCUCAUUUCUGACGCUCAGGCGCGACAGCGUGGGGAUCAAACAGG
rnacentral:rRNA from 1 species